rnacentral:rRNA from 1 species
UGGGGAAUAUUGCACAAUGGGGGGAAAACCCUGAUGCAGCGACGCCGCGUGAGUGAAGAAGUAUUUCGGUAUGUAAAGCUCUAUCAGCAGGGAAGAUGAUGACGGUACCUGAGUAAGAAGCCCCGGCUAACUACGUGCC